rnacentral:rRNA from 1 species
AGUGAACGCUGGCGGUAGGCCUAACACAUGCAAGUCGAACGGCAGCACAGUAAGAGCUUGCUCUUACGGGUGGCGAGUGGCGGACGGGUGAGGAAUACAUCGGAAUCUACUUUUUCGUGGGGGAUAACGUAGGGAAACUUACGCUAAUACCGCAUACGACCUACGGGUGAAAGCAGGGGAUCUUCGGACCUUGCGCGAUUGAAUGAGCCGAUGUCGGAUUAGCUAGUUGGCGGGGUAAAGGCCCACCAAGGCGACGAUCCGUAGCUGGUCUGAGAGGAUGAUCAGCCACACUGGAACUGAGACACGGUCCAGACUCCUACGGGAGGCAGCAGUGGGGAAUAUUGGACAAUGGGCGCAAGCCUGAUCCAGCCAUACCGCGUGGGUGAAGAAGGCCUGCGGGUUGUAAAGCCCUUUUGUUGGGAAAGAAAAGCAGCAGGUUAAUACCCCGCUGUUCGGACGGUACCCAAAGAAUAAACACCGGCUAACUUCGU